rnacentral:rRNA from 1 species
GACGAACGCUGGCGGCGUGCUUAACACAUGCAAGUCGAACGGUGAAGCGCCUUCCUUUUUGGUGGGUGUGGAUGAGUGGCGAACGGGUGAGUAACACGUGAGUAACCUGCCCCCUUCUUCUGGAGAACCGCAUGAAAGUGUGGCUAAUACGGGAGAGUCUGGGUCUGUCGCAUGAUGGGUCCGGGAAAGAUAUUGUUUCGGUGGGGGAUGGGCUCGCGGCCUAUCAGCUUGGUGGUGGGGUGAUGGCCUACCAAGGCGGUGACGGGUAGCCGGCCUGGGAGGGUGGACGGCAACACUGGGACUGGGCCACGGCCAAGACUCCUGCGGGCGGCAGCAGUGGGGAAUAUUGAACAAUGGGAGCAAGGCUGAUGCAGCGACGCCGCGUGAGGGAUGGAGGCCUUCGGGUUGUGAACCUCUUUCGCCAGUGAAGCAGGCCUGCCUCGUUUGUGGGUGGGUUGACGGUAGCUGGAUAAGAAGCGCCGGCUAACUACGUG